UGGGUUCCCUUUGAAGCCGUUAGUUCUCCC
rnacentral:piRNA from 1 species